GGCAGCUGCGCGGGGCCAGGGUCACCUGCCGCCCGGGCUUGGCCGCCCGCGACCCCUCCCAGGGCCGCCUUCCUCCGCAGCCCCACCAGUUAAAAGCAGGGAAAUCCUGCGCGCCACAGUCUGAUCCGGCUACAGCGGGGCAUCCCACCUGAGCAAGAUCCAUGCAAAGGACUUCACGUGCCUCGUUCAUCAAACCUUUUCACAGUCACCCAGAGGGAAAUAAUCGCCUCCCUUUGCCACCCCCCCCCCCCCCCCAACUGCCACAAUAUACUCAUUGAACGUGCAAUAAUAUCCCUUUCAACUCAACUCCGAUUACAUUCUGCAAGAGAAAUGCAGUCAUUGUCAUCUGGAAUCCUCCCUUCACACAUCUGGAAAUGAAAACAUACAAACAAAUCAACACAUGAAACGAGAUAAAGUAGAAAAAUCCCCGCCCUUCCAAAGUUUGUAUAUGCAUCUGUUCAGGCUUGGAAAACAAGUAUCUUUCUGGUCUGAAGAAGGGAAAUAUGAAAUGAUACUGCAUUUAGUACAUGGGAUUUAUCACUCAAUAUUUUUGCCAUUGUCUUCAUAUUCUCACUCUGUACAUUAUGCAUUACUAAUGUAUAUACUGUAGUUUAUAUCUUUCAUAUGCAUAUUAUAUAGCCAUAUAAACGGCAAGCCCAUACACACGUAUAGGCUAAAAUUUUCAUCAUUGCAUAAGAGAGUUAGACACCCAUCUUUAAUUGAUUUUCAGUGAGAGUGGGGUGCCCAACACAUUUAAGAGUUUUUAAAAUUCCCACCCAUUAACUACAAUACAGGCAUGUAUGUAUGUAUGUGUGUAUAUAAGGGGACAAUCUUAGUAACAUCACUACUGUACCAUAUAUAUAAUAUGGGGGCAGGUAAAUAUACCACAUAUAUGGUAUAUUAACGUGCCCCGCUCCCCUUCCUCCUCUCCCUCCACCCACAAAGUGACUAAUUAUUUUGGAUGCCUUCGUUUCUGGGUGGCCAAAUCAAAACAAGAUCAAAGGACAUGAUUUUCGGAGGAUGGGUGGUCAGUGAUUCAUUCAAAAAGCUAGACACUUCUGAAUAUCUCAGAUGUAUACAUAUGCAGUAGUAUGUUACCUCAUGCUUUUCAUUUUACAUAAGCAUGUAAUUAUCAACAUACAUUAAAGUAGGGCAAUCAAACACACAAAAGUGACACAAUGCAAAAGUUAAGGUGUUAUGGGGUGGGUUUCUUUCUGAAAGAGAAAAAGUAUUCCUUGCUUCUGAAACUGAAAAAGACUUGAAUUGAUUUUAGCUAAAAAUUUCAACAUACACAAUCACAUCUAGCUGAGAUCAAGCAAGGAAAUCUUCAGUCUAAAACAGGAGCAAGUAAAAAUAUGGGUUAGAAUCAAAGUGCCAUUUCAGCUUUAAUUAUAGUGUUUAAUUAUAGUGUUCUCUGCUGCUGCUGGGAGAUAUCAUGAGAAAACCAUUUAAAUAAAACUGUAAGAGAGUGACACAGUCUGGUUUAAGCCUACACAGGCAAAGUCAUUCACAGUUAAAAAUGUACUUUGUUGUGCCUAGGUGUGAGAUGGCAUCUCCAAAGCGUGAGGGAUCUUACAGAUUCUGGCCUUGAUUCUGUUCUUACAUCAGCAUAGAUCAGGAGUGACUCCCCUGUCGUCAUAGCAGUAUAAAACCAGUCUAAGAGAGAGCAGAAUCAUACCCACUGUGUGUACAUCCUAAGCAAAACUGGGUUAGCUAAGGAAGGAAACCCAGUCUGGCAUCUCACAUUCCUUUGGUGGAUUUAUUUCAAAUCCUUUAACUUUCUUGUAAAGCACUGUUUAUGGGUUCAUUUCUUUUGUUUUUAUUUAGUUUUUAAAGAUUGCAAUAAUUAAUACAAACCAAGCAUGUAUGAUAGUUUACACAGUAAACCACAAUGUGUCUACUCCACAGCUAUUACAAUCAAGGAUCUAAGAAUGUAUUUAGGGACCUGAGAAACAGUAGUUACACUGACUCUUUAUGGUCUAGUAUGUUAGAUCCUGAAUCAGGCCUUCUUUACACCCAGUUCUGAGCCCUGAUCAUGCAGUUCUGAUGUAUUUAAACUCCCAUUGACUUCAGCUGAAGUUAUACAUGUGGAAAGCUGACAGGACUGGGCUCAGACUAUAAUUAUGAGCUUAUUAAAGAUGCUACAUAAAUACAAAUUGGGGGUCAAAUUCUGCUUGUUUAUGAAUAGUUCCCCUGACAUCAAUGGGACAAUGUAUGUGAGUAAAACCAGCAAGACUGGCUCAGUACCUGUGUUUGUACUAAUCUGCAACAUUUGGAGUUCAAAAAACAGACCAACCAACCAACCUCAACCCCCCAUAGACUGAAUUUAUUAAAUAGGCAAUGAAGUUCCUACGAGUACGAGGCUAAAUAGAGAGAGGGUGUUUUUUCUAGGGGAUUCAUUUCAAAAGGAGGAAAUUUUAAUGUCUUAGGGCCUGAUUGUGCAACUCGUACUCAAGCUGAAUACAACAUAGUCAUGCAAGUUACUGGUAAUCAUCAUGAAUAAGGGUUGCAGAUUUGGGUCCUUAGACUUUUGGGGUCUGGCUGAUUCCCCUUUCCCAGGUUUAACACCAAAGUAUUUUUAUUAGUAUUAUUUCUAUUGCAGUAGUGCCUAGGGACCAUUAUCAUGGACCUGGACCCCUUUGUUCUAGGCGCUGAACAAAAGGACGGUCCCUGCUUCAAAGAGCUUAGAAUCUAAACUUAACUGUUGAUUUACACCAAUGUGAGCUAAGCAUCAGGCCCUUGAAGUCUACACAAUUUCUGCUGCUAUGUUGAGGAGUUGUGAGGAUUUGUGGGAGGGCUCGGUUCUUAACACCUAAAAAUAGGCAUUGUGCUUAUGUUAUAAACAUCCUGGCAGUUAGAGAGCCUCAUAGGACUGACAGGUUCACCCUCUGCGUGCCCAUGAAAUGAUCUGAUAGUGAACUGUACAGAAGCAGACCUCACUGGGGAAGGUUAUUCGUUCGUUCCCCAUCUCGAAAUGCCAUUUCGUCCAUAUAUCAAUGCAGCAUAUUCAUCUUCCGUGAACAAUAUUCCUAACUAUGCGACACAUUUCUGUGUGAUUGUAACAAAAUCCAAACAGCAGAUAUGCUGGGUUAUUUAGGUUUAAAUCAAGUCCCAUCUGUUUGUAUAACCCUGGAUGUGUCAUUUUUAGGAGGGGAGGGGAAGUGGACAGAGAGAGAAUCCAGCAGUGGACUGGAAAAGCGAUACAGCUGGAGGAGGACAUGGAUGAUGAAUUUACAGCCUGCCUGUCUUGCGUGGCACAUCUACGCCAUCAGCACACUUGAAAGGAUCAUGAAAUCAGCAUCGUCAAAGCAUGCCUGUUCACUAGGAGCUGGCCUGAGAUCACCGACCCGUUUCACACAGGAUGUUGCAAAGAUGACAAUGAGUUCAAGCCACUGCCAGUCUGGACCAUAUCCAAGCCAGUAAUCUAGAGCGGAGAGGUUCCCUAUCCUACUGCCAAUCCCCCGAGACAUCUAGGUCUCACUGGUUGUGCUUAAGGAAAUAUCUAGUGUAGUGCUUAUUGGUAAUGACCUAGUAAGUGAAUAAAAA